AUGGCCAUAUAACGUUGAAACACCGGUUCUCGUACAAUCACUGAAGUUAGGAAACGUCGAGCCUGGUCAGUACGUAGAUGGGUGACCACUUGAGAAUACGAGGUUCUGUA